GAUGAACGCUGGCGGCGUGCCUAAUACAUGCAAGUCAAGCGAACAGACGAGGAGCUUGCUCCUCUGACGUUAGCGGCGGACGGGUGAGUAACACGUGGAUAACCUACCUAUAAGACUGGGAUAACUUCGGGAAACCGGAGCUAAUACCGGAUAAUAUAUUAAACCGAAUGGUUAAAUAGUGAAAGACGGUUUUGCUGUCACUUAUAGAUGGAUCCGCGCCGCAUUAGCUAGUUGGUAAGGUAACGGCUUACCAAGGCAACGAUGCGUAGCCGACCUGAGAGGGUGAUCGGCCACACUGGAACUGAGACACGGUCCAGACUCCUACGGGAGGCAGCAGUAGGGAAUCUUCCGCAAUGGGCGAAAGCCUGACGGAGCAACGCCGCGUGAGUGAUGAAGGUCUUCGGAUCGUAAAACUCUGUUAUUAGGGAAGAACAAAUGUGUAAGUAACUAUGCACGUCUUGACGGUACCUAAUCAGAAAGCCACGGCUAACUACGUG
rnacentral:rRNA from 1 species